ensembl:lncRNA
CCAGUUUCCAGUGGUAGAAGGCAGCUCUCAUCAACAGCAUGAGUGUGAACAAGCACAGCGGGAGCUGGACCUUAAUGUCCAUGCAUAAGAGGAAGGGAGUACUUUUGCAGCAACUCUUUAAAGAAAAAUAGAGAAGGCAUAUGAGCUUUGCUAACAACAUUUUGAGAUUUCAGAUAAUUUUAUAUGCAGUUUGUACUGACCAGUAGUACUGACUCUAUGAACGUAUUACUCAAAUUUCAAAGUAGUCAGUUUAAAAGUCCAGAAUUUAAACUAGAAAGAUUAGCAAAACUGGCAGCUAGUCAAGAUUAAGGCAAAUCAUAGUCUCAGCUCUUCAGGGAAUCAUGAACUUCAUAUAAUGGUGGUAGAGUAUCCACUUUCAACAACAAAAUACUGUACUUCUAUACAGGAUAUCUGAAAAAGCUUCUCACUACUGCAGAUAAAUUGCCUUGGGCAUGAAGAAGGCUUAAUAUUUUUUCUUUGUACUCUUAAGUUAUUUUUUUGAAUUUAAUGAAGAAAUUGGUUCUUCAGAAACUUAUCACAUGUUUUUUAUGUGUCUCUCCAAGACUCCAAGGUGGAACACUCUCAAAGGACCUUCUAAGGGUCAUUACUGCAGCAUAUUUUACUGAAGUCCAAAAGGAAGGAGUGGAAGUCAGAAGCCAAAGUGAUUCUUCUAGUGUCUGCAAAUGUUUCUCCAAGAAUAAGAGGAAGUCCAGCCCAGACAUAAAAAAGCAGUGAAGACCACUGAAGGCACACCUUAGAGAGAAAUGGCUG